rnacentral:rRNA from 1 species
CCCUUAGAUGUUCUGGGCCGCACGCGCGCUACAAUGAUGCAGGCAACGAGUGCCGCUCCUUAGCCGAAAGGCUUGGGGAAUCUUGAAAACUGCAUCGUGCUAGGGAUAGAUGAUUGCAAUCGUGCAUCUUGAACGAGGAAUGCCUUGUAAGCGUGAGUCAUCGACUCGCGCUGAAUACGUCCCUGCCCUUUGUACACACCGCCCGUCGCUCCUACCGAUUGGAUGGUCCGGUGAACUGGUCGGACUGCUGUUUGAAAUUGCGGGUGCAGUUGAUUCACGGGAAGUCUAGUAAACCUUAUCAUCUAGAGGAAGGAGAAGUCGUAACA